CAUAACAUGCAAGGGAUGGACAAGACUAUUCCCGAGCUCUUCGCAAUGCUAAAGGCUGCGGAGGUAGAAAUCAAGAAGGAGCAUCAAGUGUUGAUGGUCAAUAAGACCACCAAUUUCAAUAAAAAGGGCAAAGGGAAGAAAAAGGGGAACUUCAAGAAGAACAGCAAACAAGUUGCUGCUCAAGAGAAGAAACCCAAGUCUGGACCUAAGCCUGAGACUGAGUGCUUCUACUACAAGCAAACUGGACACUGGAAGUGGAACUGCCCCAAGUAUUUGGCGGAUAAGAAGGAUGGCAAAGUGAACAAA
rnacentral:rRNA from 1 species